rnacentral:rRNA from 1 species
AUACGUAGGGUGCGAGCGUUGUCCGGAAUUACUGGGCGUAAAGAGCUCGUAGGUGGUUUGUCGCGUCGUCUGUGAAAUUCCGGGGCUUAACUCCGGGCGUGCAGGCGAUACGGGCAUAACUUGAGUACUGUAGGGGAGACUGGAAUUCCUGGUGUAGCGGUGAAAUGCGCAGAUAUCAGGAGGAACACCGGUGGCGAAGGCGGGUCGCUGGGCAGUAACUGACGCUGAGGAGCGAAAGCAUGGGUAGCGAACAGGAUUAGAUACCCUGGUAGUCCAGGCCGUAAACGGUGGGCGCUAGGUGUAGGGGUCUUCCACGACUUCUGUGCCGUAGCUAACGCAUUAAGCGCCCCGCCUGGGGAGUACGGCCGCAAGGCUAAAACUCAAAGGAAUUGACGGGG